rnacentral:rRNA from 1 species
UGGGGAAUUUUGGACAAUGGGCGAAAGCCUGAUCCAGCAAUGCCGCGUGUGUGAAGAAGGCCUUCGGGUUGUAAAGCACUUUUGUCCGGAAAGAAAUCCUUGGCUCUAAUACAGUCGGGGGAUGACGGUACCGGAAGAAUAAGCACCGGCUAACUACGUGCCAACAGCCGCGGUAAUACGUAGGGUGCAAGCGUUAAUCGGAAUUACUGGGCGUAAAGCGUGCGCAGGCGGUUUGCUAAGAUCGAUGUGAAAUCCCCGGGCUCAACCUGGGAACUGCAUUGGUGACUGGCAGGCUAGAGUAUGGCAGAGGGGGGUAGAAUUCCACGUGUAGCAGUGAAAUGCGUAGAGAUGUGGAGGAAUACCGAUGGCGAAGGCAGCCCCCUGGGCCAAUACUGACGCUCAUGCACGAAAGCGUGGGGAGCAAACAGGAUUAGAUACCCUGGUAGUCCACGCCCUAAACGAUGUCAACUAGUUGUUGGGGAUUCAUUUCCUUAGUAACGUAGCUAACGCGUGAAGUUGACCGCCUGGGGAGUACGGUCGCAAGAUUAAAACUUAAAUGAAUUGACGGGGUCAUAGCUG